UACGUAGGGGGCAAGCGUUGUCCGGAUUUAUUGGGCGUAAAGAGCGUGUAGGCGGCCAGGUAGGUCAGCUGUGAAAACUCGAGGCUCAACCUCGAGACGUCGGUUGAAACCACCUGGCUAGAGUCCGGAAGAGGAGAGUGGAAUUCCCGGUGUAGCGGUGAAAUGCGCAGAUAUCGGGAAGAACAUCAGUGGCGAAGGCGGUCUGCUGGGCCGUUGCUGACGCUGAGGCGCGACAGCGUGGGGAGCAAACAGG
rnacentral:rRNA from 1 species